UGGGGAAUUUUGGACAAUGGGCGAAAGCCUGAUCCAGCAAUGCCGCGUGCGUGAAGAAGGCCUUCGGGUUGUAAAGCACUUUUGUCCGGAAAGAAAUCCUUGGCUCUAAUACAGUCGGGGGAUGACGGUACCGGAAGAAUAAGCACCGGCUAACUACGUGCCAGCAGCCGCGGUAAUACGUAGGGUGCAAGCGUUAAUCGGAAUUACUGGGCGUAAAGCGUGCGCAGGCGGUUUGCUAAGACCGAUGUGAAAUCCCCGGGCUCAACCUGGGAACUGCAUUGGUGACUGGCAGGCUAGAGUAUGGCAGAGGGGGGUAGAAUUCCACGUGUAGCAGUGAAAUGCGUAGAGAUGUGGAGGAAUACCGAUGGCGAAGGCAGCCCCCUGGGCCAAUACUGACGCUCAUGCACGAAAGCGUGGGGAGCAAACAGGAUUAGAUACCCUGGUAGUCCACGCCCUAAACGAUGUCAACUAGUUGUUGGGGAUUCAUUUCCUUAGUAACGUAGCUAACGCGUGAAGUUGACCGCCUGGGGGAGUACGGUCGCAAGAUUAAAACUCAAAUGAAUUGACGGGGUCAUAGCUGUUUCCU
rnacentral:rRNA from 1 species